CUCGUGGAAAAGGACUUUAAUUUGGGGAGGGGUCCGACUGCCACCCUCAGCCCCCCAUCCUCCCCACACCAAAAUGUCCGAAGGUGGAGAGCGGUGGGAAGAACCCAACGUGAAGAGCAACGGGAAAAGCCAACGUGAAGGGUGAGGUGUGCCACCCAAUGUGGGGCAAUGGGGCACCCAAUGGGGGGCAAUGGGGUAACCAAUGUGGGGCAAUGGGGUAACCAACGUGGGGCAAUGGGGUAACCAACAUGGGGCAAUGGGGCACCCAACCUGAGCAAUGGGAGAGCCCCAUAUGGGGCAAUGGGGCACCCAACGUGGGGAAAUGGGAGAACCAACAUGGCACAAUGGGGCACCCAAUGUGGGACAAUGGGAGAAACCUACAUGGGGCAAAUGGGGCACGCAACCUGAGCAAUGAUGCAAACAAUGUGGGGCAAUGAGAGAACCCUACAUGGGGCACUGGGGCACCCAAUGUGGGGCAAUGAGGUAACCAACCUGAGCAACGGGACAACCCUAUAUGGGGCAACGGGGCAACCAACAUGGCACAAUGGGACACCCAACAUGGGGCAAUGGGACAACCAACGUGGGGCAAUGGGGUAACCCUACAUGAGGCAAUGGGACAGCCAACGUGGGGCAAUGGCAAAACCCCAUAUGGGGCAAUGGGGCACCCAACCUGAGCAAUGAGGUACCCAACAUGGCACAAUGAGAGAACCUUACAUGGGGCAAUGGGGUAACCAACGUGGGGCAGUGGGGUAACCAAUGUGGGGCAGGGGGAGAACCCAACAGAAAGAGCAAUGGGGCACCCAACAUGGGGUAGUGGGAGAACCAACGUGAGGCAAUGGAGCAACCAACCUGAGCAAUGGGGCAACCCUACAUGGGGCAAUGGGGCACCCAACAUGGCGCAAUGGGGUACCCAACCUGAGUAAUGGGGCAACCAACAUGGCGCAAUGGGGCAACCCUACCUGGGGCGAUGGGACAACCAACCUGAGCAAUGGGACACGCAACGUGGGGCAAUGGGAUGACCCCAUACGGGGUAAUGGGACAACCAACAUGGGGCAAUGGGACAACGAACAUGGGGCAAUGGAUGACCCCACAUGGGGCAAUGGGACAACCAACAUGGGGAGAUGGGACGACCAACAUGGGGCGAUGGGAUGACCCCACAUGGGGCGAUGGGACGACCAACAUGGGGCGAUGGGAUGACCCCACAUGGGGCAAUGGGACAACCAACAUGGGGCGAUGGGAUGACCCCACAUGGGGCAAUGGGACAACCAACAUGGGGCGAUGGGAUGACCCCACAUGGGGCGAUGGGACGACCAACAUGGGGCAAUGGGAUGACCCCACAUGGGGCGAUGGGACGACCAACAUGGGGCAAUGGGAUGACCCCACAUGUGGCAAUGGGACAACCAACAUGGGGCGAUGGGACGACCAACAUGGCGCAAUGGAAGAACCCAACAUGGGGCAAUGGGAUGACCCCAUAUGGGGUAAUGGGACAACCAAUAUGGCGCAAUGGGACGACCAGCAUGGGGCGAUGGGAUGACCCCACAUGGGGCGACGGGACAACCAACAUGGGGCAAUGGAAGAACCCUACAUGGGGCAAUGGAAGAACCCUACAUGGGGUGAUGGGACACCCAACCUGAGCAGUGGGGCAAUCCUACACGGGGCAAUGGGACGACCCUACAUGGGGAAUGGGACAACCAACAUGGGGCAAUGGGGCAACCAAUGUGGGGCAAUGGGAAAACCCCAUAUGGGGCAAUGGGGCACUCAGUGUGGGGCAAUGGGAGGACCCAACAUGGGGCAAUGGGGCAACCAACGUGGCGCAAUGGGACAACCCUACAUGGGGCGAUGGGACAACCAACCUGAGCAAUGGGACACGCAACGUGGGCAAUGGGAUGACCUCAUACGGGGUAAUGGGACAACCAACAUGGGGCAAUGGGACAACGAACAUGGGGCAAUGGGAUGACCCCACAUGGGGCAAUGGGACAACCAACAUGGGGCAAUGGGAUGACCCCACAUGGGGCAAUGGGACAACCAACAUGGGGUGAUGGGACAACUAACGUGGCACAAUGGAAGAACCCAACAUGGGGCAAUGGGAUGACCCCUUAUGGGGUAAUGGGACAACCAAUAUGGCGCAGUGGGACGACAUGGGGCGAUGGGAUGACCCCACAUGGGGCGAUGGGACAACCAACAUGGGGCGAUGGGACAACCAACAUGGGGCGAUGGGAUGACCCCACAUGGGGCGAUGGGACAACCAACAUGGGGCGAUGGGACAACCAACAUGGGGCAAUGGAAGAACCCUACAUGGGGUGAUGGGACACCCAACCUGAGCAGUGGGGCAAUCCUACAUGGGGCAAUGGGACGACCCUACAUGGGGCAAUGGGGCAACCAACAUGGGGCAAUGGGGCAACCAAUGUGGGGCAAUGGGAAAACCCCAUAUGGGGCAAUGGGGCACUCAAUGUGGGGCAAUGGGAAAACCCCAUAUGGGGCAAUGGGGCACUCAAUGUGGGGCAAUGGGAGGACCCAACAUGGGGCAAUGGGGCAACCAAUGUGGGGCAAUGGGGCACCCAACGUGAGCAAUGGGGCAACCAACGUGGCGCAAUGGGACAACCCUACAUGGGGCGAUGGGAGAACCAACAUGGGGCAAUGGGAUGACCCAACACAAAGAGGAAUGGGGAAACCCAAUGAGAGGAGGAAUGGGAUAACCUAAAACAAAGAGCAAUGGGGAACCCCAAUGAGAAGAGCCAUGGGAUAACCUAAAACAAAGAGGAAUGGGAAACCCC
rnacentral:lncRNA from 1 species